AUACUUUGCUAUGUCCGGUGUUCGUAACUCUCUAUAGGGACAAAUAGGUUUAAAACAAAAUUAUAAAUCAAAGGUGGAUGUUAUAGAUUCUUUAUUAAAUAUGAGAUGGUAAUCCAUGCAAUGAGUUUAACUUGUGUCGCAUUUAAGAAAGUGAUUAUGCGAAAAGCAGGGUAGACGCAGGGUAUGGCCAUUACCGUCACAGAAGGUAGAGUGGUAUUAAGUUAAAUUAAGUUAGGUAAAUAUUAUGUGUGAGAGCAGAGUGGUUGAUUGUUGUGUUAAAUCCUCCACCUGGAAGAAAAACUGUCGGAGCAAGAUACGUGCUCUUCAUUAUAAGUAAAAGCAACUAGUGUCUGAAUGUGUUCACGAGCCCUUUGGGUGUAAUACAAUCAAAUGAGGAGACUCUCCAUGGGAAAGGGAAAAGUCUGGGAUACAUAGAAGCGUGUGGUCAUAUGACGCAACUCAAGGGGAGGAAACAUCUGUAGAACUGAUCUUGGAUAGAACGCCAGAUUAAUUAUAGCACUAUAAUUAUAGUCAAUAAACUAAAUUCUAGUGCCUUUCUCCUGGCACAAGCGCUCUUGAUUGUGUCGUAGCAGGAUAGCUUAUAAAAAUUGCUCGUCGCAAAC
rnacentral:misc_RNA from 1 species